UUCCUUCUUCCUUUUUCUCCUGUCUCCUUUGAGAAUAAGCGAGUCAGAGAUGGAAAUGUAGUUGGAUGGGGACUUCUGGUGGGCACCCCCUUCUUAUGCUUUGUAGACCCACUGUGUCAUGUUCCCUGGAACCUCGUCCAGCUGCUGGGAACAGUUUUUUUUUUUUUUAAUUUUUUUUUUAAAUUUUUUUUCAACGUUUAUUUAUUUUUGGGACAGAGAGAGACAGAACAUGAACAGGUGAGGGGCAGAGAGAGAGGGAGACACAGAAUCGGAAACAGGCUCCAGGCUCUGAGCCAUCAGCCCAGAGCCCGAUGCGGGGCUCGAACUCACGGACCGCGAGAUCGUGACCUGGCUGAAGUCGGACACUUAACCGACUGCGCCACCCAGGUGCCCCUGGGAACAGUUUUUUGAGAAAGUCAAUGGGAACUGCGUGUCAAGAAAAGAAAGCAGUUGGAUAGAGGAUAGAUAAUAAGCAUUAACUCCACGUUUAAUUCGAUGUGAAAACUGCCCUUUUUACCAAUUCAUGUCUCCAUCAGCAGAAGCUAGGGCAUUUCGAGUUGAGUUGCAUUAUUAAGUUUAUAAUGUUCACCUAACCUCAAACCUUUGAAACCUUUGCUCAACAGUCCAAAGAGAUUUUUAGUUAAAUUAAAAAUUCUACCUAACUCAACGGUAUUGUACGUUUUUGAGCAGAAUAUAUACAGAAGCAGUUGGAUGACCUUUCUAGUUUUUUCCCCCCAGAAUUUAUUCUGCUGAAGUGAUAUUAGUAAGCCUCACUAGAACACGACAAUUCUUUGCAGAAUGUCACAUUAUUAUUAUUAUAUAGUUGGCAUUUGAACACAUAUAGCUGGCGUUUAAAUUUUCUUAGAAAAUUUAAAGAGAACUCAUCUUUUCUUCUUUGGCACUGGCAACUUUGAACCUAUUCUCUGCAAGCUCCGGAACUUCCAGAAGAAAAAGCACAAAACCACGUGGUGCAGGAGAAGAAGGGACACCCAGCCGUUAACAUCAAAGGCCAACCAAAAUUUGUGAGACAUGUUUCGUCA
rnacentral:lncRNA from 1 species